AUUGAACGCUGGCGGCAGGCCUAACACAUGCAAGUCGAGCGAGCGGCGCACGGGUGAGUAAUGUAUGGGGACUCCCCGAUCGAGGGGGAUAACUACUGUAAACGGUAGCUAAUACCGCAUACUAUCGGAUAACCCCCAUGGGAGUAGCUCGUAGGUGGGGUAAUGGCUCACCUAGGCGACGAUCCCUAGCUGGUCUGAGAGGAUGAUCAGCCACACUGGGACUGAGACACGGCCCAGACUCCUACGGAGGCAGCAGUGGGGAAUAUUGCAAAAGGGGCGCAAGCCUGAUGCAGCCAUGCCGCGUGUAUGAAGAAGGCCCUAGGGUUGUAAAGUACUUUCAGUCGGGAGGCGUUACCGGCAGAAGAAGCACCGGCUAACUCCGUGCCAGCAGCCGCGGUAAUUC
rnacentral:rRNA from 1 species